GCAUACACACAGAGAGGCCAGAGGAGUAUGUAGAGUGUCUUCUAGUCCUUUGAGGAAGAGUCUCUCUCUGAACCUGGAGUUUGUGGUUUUUCCCAGCUAGACUGGCAGCCAGCAAGCUCCAGCGGUCCUGAGACUCCUGUCCUGAGUCCUGAGUCCCAGAGACUCCUGUCUCUGCCCCUCACGGCACUGGGGUUACAGGUGUGUGCAAGACCACACCCAACUUUUUAUAUGGGUAUCGGGGACUUGAACGCAGGCCCUCAUGGUUGCACAGCAAACACUCUUAACCACCGAUCUUUUUCUCCAGCCCUGCAAGAUUUGCUUUUGAAUAUCUUCAAGCUACUGUUGGCUGAAUCUACACUGUGUAGCCCACAGAUCCAGGGGGCUGACAAUUUCUUCAAGAACGGUUCACUGAGGGAAGGCAGAGGGAAAGAACGGGGAGCCAGUGGAGAAUAAGGGGUAACUGGACGUGGAUGGGAGGAAGGGAAGGAUGAAGGGCUGUGCAAAACACGUCAGUGAGUGGCAUCCAGCCAGCCUCUAGCCUGCAAAAUCUUCCCAGCUCCACAUGUGGGUGCCAGACCUCUCAGGACUCGCCCCUCCGCACCUCACCAGCCUUCUUGCCUGCUUUUAGCUCUCCAUGAGAGCUGGCCUAGUGACCCAGAGGGCCCUCCACCUGGGACUCUGCCCACCAUGUCACCUGGCAGGCUCCUGAUAGCUUAGGUCAUUGAGGUAGAAGUGAGGGAAGGG